GACGAACGCUGGCGGCGUGCCUAAUACAUGCAAGUCGAACGAACCGCGACUAGGUGCUUGCACUUGGUCAAGGUGAGUGGCGAACGGGUGAGUAACACGUGGGUAACCUACCUCAUAGUGGGGGAUAACAGUCGGAAACGACUGCUAAUACCGCAUAGGACAUAGGAUCACAUGAUCCAGUGAGGAAAGGUGGCGCAAGCUAUCGCUAAGAGAUGGACCCGCGGUGUAUUAGCUAGUUGGUAGGGUAAAGGCCUACCAAGGCGAUGAUGCAUAGCCGACCUGAGAGGGUGAUCGGCCACAUUGGGACUGAGACACGGCCCAAACUCCUACGGGAGGCAGCAGUAGGGAAUCUUCCGCAAUGGACGCAAGUCUGACGGAGCAACGCCGCGUGAGUGAAGAAGGUCUUCGGAUCGUAAAGCUCUGUUGUUAGAGAAGAACAGCGCAUAGAGUAACUGUUAUGCGUGUGACGGUAUCUAACCAGAAAGCCACGGCUAACUACGUG
rnacentral:rRNA from 1 species